UUCACGAUCUUCGUUCUCACUGAGAUGCUUCAAUCAGAGGCUGAUCUUGUCAGAAAAGGUUCAGGUAGCUUUGAGGCUCCGCACAUUUCUGACAGGUGAUGGAAACUCGUGGAAAAACGAAACACACAAGUGGACAAUAUGGAUGAUUGAUUUAGCUCCAGAUCAGAACUGGUCGAGCACAGGCGCGUGCUUGCAUCAUUGGUGUCAUGGCAACAAAAGGUGACGCGCACCUAGAAAAGGCCUGUUGACCUUCAAAAACGUUCUCUUUUGCAUUUGGACAUUUACUUGAACGGGUGCAAAUUGACCAGCCUGCUGCAAAGCUAGCAAUUUUUGGAAAGCCUUUUGGAAAACACUUUGAACACUUCGUUGGACAUCCCAGACAACAAGGACCUUUUUAAAGAAGAAGCUCACCGUCAGCAUGAAGAGGACGCUGGACUCCAUCUCCUGGCCGGACUCCUCCAGGUACCUCCCUUACCCCUUACCUCGCCGUCCUCCUGUCUCCUCCCUCUCUCACUAUCCUUUUGCUCCCCUCCCUCCCCCCUCCUUUCCUAUCUCCUCCUGCCCCUCUCGCUCUGCUUUUUCUCCCCUCCCUCGCUCCAUCUCUCCUCUUCCUCCUCCUCCCCCUAUCUCUCCUUCUCCCCCUCCUCUUCCCCCCUCCUCUCCUGAUUCUUUUCCCCUUCCCUCCCAUCUCCCUGCCCCCUUCCCUCUCCGUCCUCCUGUCUCCUCCCUCUCUCACUAUCCUUUUUCUCCCCUCCCUCCCCCCUCCUCUCCUAUCUCCUUCUCCCCCUCUCGCUCUGCUUUUUCUCCCCUCCCUUCCCCCUCCUCUCCUAUCUCCUUCUCCCCCUCUCGCUCUGCUUUUUCUCCCCUCCCUCCCCCCUCCUCUCUUCUUCCUUCCGUCUCUCCUCCUCCUCCUUCUUCUCCUUCCUCCCCUCCUCCUUUCAAGCGUCGUCGCUGUUCUUCCCCCCUUUCUCCUUUCUCUCCUCCCUUCCGCCCUUGGUUCUUUUACACUCUCCCUGUCCCUCCCUCUCCCCCCUCACUUUCCUCUCCACUUCCUAAACCUGUCCCAACCCUAUCCCUGUCUCCUUCUCCCCCCCCCCCUCCUCUUCCCCCUCCUCUUCUAUCUCCUCCCCCUCCUCCCUUUCGCACUCUUCUUUUUCUCCCGUCCCUCCACCUCUCUGUCCUAUCUCCUCCUCUCUUCCUUGUUCUCGUCCCGCGGAGCCUCCUCCAGCGCCACUGACUGGGCGCUGGAGUUGCAGGAUAUCGGAGGAUGAGAACAAACUCAUCCUUCGGAGGCGGCCUCUUCUUCCCAUCCAAGUUUUUCUGUUGAGGGACCUCCUGACAAACGUACAGGCUCAGUCUAGUCUAUCAUGCAGGAGGUCCCUUCUUAGCAUUUUUUUUUUACUAAUCAUUGUGUGAGUUUCUCUCCCCAGAAGCCUCCUGCCAGCCAACCUUCAGGGAAGAAGGUUCGCAAACCUUCCGUUUCAUUAAAUUUACCCCGUUCUAUUUUAAACAUUUUCGCUACGUGUGAUUUUCUGGAUGUGAUCUGGUCAGAUUUUAUUUGAAUGAAUCUCUUGUGAUUAUGUCUGAUCAGAUCUAUUCCAACUUUAUUUGAAUGAAUUUUCUUCCAUUGUAUUUUGUGUGAUUCUUUGAGCUCGGUUCUUGUCAGUGGGACUCUGGUCAGGGUGCCUGUCAGAGGUGUGGGCGGAUCUGAGGGGGAUCGUGGGAAACCUCCUGUGGUCCCCCUCCUUACAGUGAAGCUCCGCUCUGUCAGAAGGUGAACAGGAUGCAGACGGCAUGUCACAGAGAAGCGACAUGUGUGUGUCUGUAUCCCACCCUGGACCCACAGUGGAGUCCACAGUGACAAGAUCACAGUUCAGGAGAGUCACACCGGGAUUAAUAGGGGUGGUUAAAUGUGUUAUUUAAGAUAGUAAAUGUAGUGUGAGGGUGAAGGUCUCGCUGCCAGAGGGAAGUUUCCAGAAGAACAGGCACGUAAGGAUCCCUGUGAAUGCUGCUGCAUGAAAAGACCGAUGAUCCCAGGACCCAAGACCAAGACAAGGACGACCCCAAAAGACGACUUGAAGAUGAGUGACCGAGCCCCAACAGAGAUGAAGCCAGAGACGACGACCAGCCGGUGAGGAGAAGAAAGAACGACUUUAGCGAGACUUUACUGGAUGCACCGGCUUGUCUGGCUCUGGAGCUGCAUGUUUCUGAUCUGCUGUUAUCGGCCUCAGCAACCUCCAAACUAUUCAUGUUCUUACCAUCCGCUCUACCCUCAAUGCAACCAGAGGUUUUUUUUUAACUUCCCAGAUGGAAGUUUUUUUUUCCUCACCCCAAAUGGAGCUUUUUUUUUUUUAAACUUCCCAACAACAGGAAGUUUUUUUUCCUUCACACUGGUACCACGUGCUUGAUCUGAUCUCACUGCGAAAAGAGAGAUCUUCAAAUAAAAAACAAAACAACACAAUAGAACUGGCAUUUAUUUUCAAGUAUUUAUUAGUUUUUAUUUUUCAUCCUUGUACAUAUUGUAAUUAUUAUGUUUAUUUCCUGGUGUAAAUAUGCUUGCUGCUGUAAAAAUGUGAAUUUCCCCUGACAUGCUGAAGCUCCAUUGUGUUCCCAGGGUAUAUAAGAGUUGCCUGGGGACCAGACAGCCUUUAUAUUGUGAAUUACAAAUACACAUAAAGUCAGUCUGGAACUGCUCCAUUGAACCAAAUCUAGCCCAGAGGCGGGACUACCGAUCACAGCUUGAACUGGAGAGAGCCAAUCAGCAUAACACGUGUGUGACACAAUCACUAAGCGACCUAACAAUUGCCUUUCCGCUAUGACGUUUUGUAGUUUUAACAGCUUCCUUUGCCGUACAGGGGUCCUGAGGAAAAUCUAAGCUCUCCCUUUCAACAGUGGAGGGCAGCAUUACGCAUUCUAUCGUACAGCCUGCCGGAAUUAAAAAUACAUCCCUUUUAAAAAGAAAAGCUUUACGAGCUGCUUCUUGUUGAGGUUUUAAGGACAAAUUCAGCCCGUGCAAAACAGAGGAAACCGCACGAGAGAAACCUUGCUCUGUUGCGGUCGCAUCGUUAACUCCCGCCUCUGGUGCUCUGAUUGGUUCGGUCUGAUCUGCUCGGAGCUUGAAAACCUGUCAAAAUGUGUCAAUGGAGGAGGGCUAGACCGUAUUCCCGUAUAUCCCUUAUAACGGGAAUACAGUCUAGCUAAGCUAGGCUAAUGUAAGAGGUCAUUUCAUGUCAUAAGCAGCACUUUACAUGUAAAGGCCUAGAGUGGUUUCCUGCUGACAUUCAAGCUGUAGCACAACUCAGAAGCCAACAGCCAGACCAGGAUGAGCACAAACGUGAGGAAAAAAACACCAUUUUCAAAGUCUGCACACUGACAAUAACUGCAGACCGGAGUGGAAGACCACCUUCAACACCCACCCAGCCCACUAUUUCUCAGCCGAAAGACAGAAAUGACACCAUGUAAAGCUUCAAAUGUUGUGAAAUGAUUGCUGUUCCCCUGUCAGGUUAUGUGGGGGAGUAAAACACUUGUUAGUCUGUUGUGGGAGUCUUGGAGGAGAUUGAAGUGUGUUUAGAUGAGAGCGCCACACUUAAGCUGUAAGUUUUUUGGUAGGAAAUGAACUUUGCUCUGCUUGAUUGAGACCUCAUGAACAGAAACAAGGUUUUAAAAUAAAAACACCUCCCAAAGCA